CCUACGUGAGGCAGCAGUGGGGAAUAUUGCACAAUGGGGGCAACCCUGAACCAGCGACGCCGCGUGAAUGAAGAAGUAUCUAGGUGUGUAAAGCUCUAUCAGCAGGGAAGAAAAUGACGGUACCUGACUAAGAAGCCCCGGCUAACUACGUGACAGCAGCCGCGGUAAUAAGUAGGGGGCCAGCGUUAUCCGGAUUUACUGGGUGUAAAGGGAGCGUAGACGGCGCUGCAAGUCCGGAGUGAAAGCCCAUGGCUUAACAAUUGUACUGCACUGGAAACUGUGGAGCUUGAGUGCUGGAUGGGCAGGCGGAAUUCCUAGUGUAGCGGUGAAAUGCGUAGAUAUUAGGAGGAACACCGGCUGCGAAGGCGGCCUGCUGGACCGUAACUGACGUUGAGGCUCGAAAGCGUGGGGAGCAAACAGGAUUAGAUACCCUAGUAGUC
rnacentral:rRNA from 1 species